rnacentral:snoRNA from 1 species
UUUGAAUGAUGAUACACCUAAUCAGUUCUGCUUCUGAACCAAAAAUUUCAUGAAGAUAACGAUUUUAUACCAAAAAAGCUUUGUCUGAUCU